rnacentral:lncRNA from 1 species
GACAUGGUGCUGAUCACCCAAUACUUCGAUACUAUGAAAGAGAUCGGCGCGUCCUCCAAGUCCUCGGCGGUGUUCAUCCCCCAUGGCCCUGGCGCAGUGCGCGACAUCGCCACACAGAUCCGCGACGGUCUUCUUCAGGGCCAGUCUGCCUCUGACAACUAGCAGUUUGCUUCAGGGCCAGUCUGCCUCUGACAACUAGCAGUUUGCUUCAGGGCCAGUCUGCCUCUGACAACUAGCAGUUUGCUUUGCCGGCAUGAACUUUAAAAGCUGGCGGUGGUUUGUGGUUUGCUAGCUAUUGCCUACAGUACUGUCUAAUAUGAUGCAUGCCGUAUUAUUAAGAAC